rnacentral:rRNA from 1 species
UACGGAGGGUGCGAGCGUUGUCCGGAAUCAUUGGGCGUAAAGGGCGCGUAGGUGGCCCGGUCAGUUCGUGGUGAAAGCGCGGGGCUCAACCCUGCGUCGGCCAUGAAUACUGCCGCGGCUGGAGCACUGUAGAGGCAGGCGGAAUUCCGGGUGUAGCGGUGGAACGCGUAGAGAUCCGGAAGAACACCGGUGGCGAAGGCGGCCUGCUGGGCAGUUGCUGACACUGAGGCGCGACAGCGUGGGGAGCAAACAGG